GCACUCUCUCCAGUAAAUCACAUCCUUCUAACCGUGUGGCAGCUAAAACUGCACACCACGUUCCAGGUGCGGACUGUAUUGUGAAGUUGCAGUGUAACAUCUCAACUCUUCUAUCUACUGUGUGUCCUGAUCUCUGAAGGGUCCUUCAAACAAUCUGUUGCAUUGGAGUGAUCGAUAUACUUGGCCGGAUGGAACUCCUGAAUAUUAAAAAAGGCAACAGCAAACUAUGAAGCACAGUAGACUGAUUUUUGUACUUCCCAAGUACUAAAAUUUAACAUUCAUCAUUAUAACUAAAGGAGGAUGAUGCCAUGACGUGGCAACUAUUUGUGUGCAGCCAUUAAGCUCAUUGAAACUGUUCUAACAAUUAUUGAGAUCAAAAUUGAUCUGUUUCUUACCUCUUAAGUCCAUGAUUUAUCAAUCUCAGCUUUGAAAUUUUCAAUGUCCCCAAUUCAUCAGCAGCUCAACAACAAUUGUGAAUAUAACUUCAUCGAUCUACUCCCUGAACAAAUAAGAGCCAAGAAACGUGAAUAAUUUUAAAAAAGUAACGAAGGUGUGAUUCCAAGGCUGGGUCUCUAGAUGACCCUGGGUUGAGCUAGAAGAAACGUCUAGCCGUGGGGGAUAGCCCCUCCUACCUGUGAGUUGAGGGACCCCGCUGCAGUACCUAUAAAAGUGGGUCUGGAAUUUUGAAGAAAUUAUCUGAAGAGCAUUACUGACAAUAUCCAAAAGAAUUUGUUACCAGCAACUGGUCCUCCCAUGUGGUGUGGAACACAUCUGCUGGGUCAUAGUGUGAAGACUUUUCUUCUUCAGUUGCCAGUAGUGGGAGACGUGAC